rnacentral:rRNA from 1 species
CACUCCUACGGGAGGCAGCAGUGGGGAAUAUUGGACAAUGGGCGCAAGCCUGAUCCAGCCAUGCCGCGUGAGUGAUGAAGGCCCUAGGGUUGUAAAGCUCUUUCACCGGUGAAGAUAAUGACGGUAACCGGAGAAGAAGCCCCGGCUAACUUCGUGCCAGCAGCCGCGGUAAUACGAAGGGGGCUAGCGUUGUUCGGAUUUACUGGGCGUAAAGCGCACGUAGGCGGACUAUUAAGUCAGGGGUGAAAUCCCGGGGCUCAACCCCGGAACUGCCUUUGAUACUGGUAGUCUUGAGUUCGAGAGAGGGGAGUGGAAUUCCGAGUGUAGAGGUGAAAUUCGUAGAUAUUCGGAGGAACACCAGUGGCGAAGGCGGCUCACUGGCUCGAUACUGACGCUGAGGUGCGAAAGCGUGGGGAGCAAACAGGAUUAGAAACCCUUGUAGUCCCAUG